rnacentral:tRNA from 2 species
ACUUAUAUAAUUUAUAGAAGAAUAUUGCAUUGAAGCUGCAAAAGAAGCAAAAUUGCUUGUGAGUA